UACUUGCCUUACAGGUCAUUCAUCUCUGUU
rnacentral:piRNA from 1 species